CACGUAGUUGGCCGGAGCUUCUUCUGCAGGUACCGUCAAUUUCGUCCCUGCUGAAAGCGGUUUACAACCCGAAGGCCGUCUUCCCGCACGCGGCGUUGCUGCGUCAGGCUUUCGCCCAUUGCGCAAGAUUCCCCACUGCUGCCUCCCGUAGGAGUCUGGGCCGUGUCUCAGUCCCAGUGUGGCUGAUCUUCCUCUCAGAACAGCUACCCGUCGUCGCCUUGGUGAGCCGUUACCUCACCAACAAGCUGAUAGGCCGCGAGACCCUCCCGAAGCGGAAUCCAUUUCUUCACGUCGCCAUGCGACAUCGUGAAGGUAUCCGGUAUUAGCUCACCUUUCGGUGAGUUAUCCCGGUCUCCGGGGCAGGUUCCUCACGUGUUACUCACCCGUUCGCCACUAGGUCUUCACCACCUUGCGGUGGAUGGACCUCGUUCGACUUGCAUGUGUUAAGCACGCCGCCAGCGUUCGUCCUGAGCCAGGAUCAAACUCU
rnacentral:rRNA from 1 species